rnacentral:misc_RNA from 1 species
CGUGAAAUGACUUUAUUAUAGUAAAAUGACUUAAUUCUUAUACAUGAAAUGAUCUUAUUAUUCCCAUGGAUUCACAUUUAACAUUGAUACAUGAAAUUGAUCCUCAACCAUUUCCCUUAAUUUUUUUUUUGUAAGAAACUUUUGUUAGUAGACAGGUGAGCAACUAGCUCCUUUCCAACCCUGACAGAGUUGACAUAAUCUCUAGGGCUAUGGGCAGCGAUUCCAGGCAGAGCUAGUCCCAUUAACCUGAACAAUGUGCAGAACCAUCCUUCCUUAUACUCUGGCCCAUGAGUGUACGGCAUUGCUAAACUUCUCAGAAUCUCCCAUGCUGCAUUCAUGUGUCGUGAUAUAUAUCAGAUAUCUCAUUCCAAAGAAAUUUGGGCUUGGGUGCUCAUCGUUUGUCUGUAAAUAUACACACAUAAUCAACUCAUAACAUAAUAUAUAGGACUUUCCAACUCCAGUUGGAGCCCAAUUAACCAGAAAAAAGAAAAAGAAAAAUCCAUGACCAGAGAGAAAAAAAAAAAAUACAUACGUGUUGAUAGUACCAGCUAUUAUGGUAAGGCACACUCCAAAAUGCUUAUAGGAGAAGAUUUGGUCAUCGAAAGGCACCCUAGGCACAAGGUCAUUACAGUAGACCACCCUGAAGUAUUUGGCGACUGGAUUGUUCAAAUGGGCUUCCAUGAACUUUCAUAGCUGCGCAUCCCCAACCCUUGGCUGCCCAAAUGUGUAUACUCUAAGCAACCUUUCUGCUAAUUCCAUUUCUUCUUGUAUCACUAGCACAGCUACGAAUAAUACAGGAAGUGCACCACCUAAACUAUGUCCAGUGACUACAAAUGUUACAUUCUUGUGCUCCCUCAGUGGGAUCUACAGCUUCAUUGCCACAGCACAGUAUGCACUCUUUUUUUUUCGCUAUUUUCAAUUGGAACUUCUGAUUGCUAGAACCACUGGUUGUCCCCUCGGAGCCUGAAGAAUUGUCCCAUAUGCUUUGGCACUUAUCUGAUUUAGUAGUGAAUGAUACUGUUUUAGUACCUUCUGAAGGGGUUUUGGUAGCAUCAUGAUCACCUUUUGAAUAUUUGAAAUUCCUGUUCUGCCUCCGAAGGUUAUACUGGAAGGUGAGAGCAUUCCUUCUGUCUCCUAAACCCAAUGCUUCCAAGAAUCCAACGUGAACUUUUCCCACUUCUGGGAUCUCAAACCAAGAGAAAUCAAAGUCAGUAUUCCAAUCACUAGCAUGAAAUGGUUCUGUUCCCCUAAAGCUGAUCAAUAUCAAGUUUGCAUCUUUUGGUUUGUCACAGAGUAUAAACACUUGGGCGUGGCUUUCCUUAUGGUAUUCUAUCAGAAAACAUAAACCAAAAUAAUGAAAAUUCCAAGUUCAAUCCAGGUGAAAAAAAAAAAGGUGAGAAUAGAGUAUAUAAAAGAAAUUGUGUUUUCUUACCAUUCCAGCAGUCAGAGAAAUCCACAAAAUGCAUCUACUUUUGUUAUACGGGGAAAAGUUCAUAAUAUGAAUAUCAGAAGACAUUGAUCAUGAGAAACAAAAUAUUGAGGGAGAGGAGAUGAUUAGAAAUAGUUCUUGCCUUCCAGUGAUUAUUAAUGACAUUUUUUACGACUGCAGCAUUCUCGUAAGCUAAUUUGGAAACCAUGAUAGAGAGGUCCAUAAGAGCUCUGUUCCUCAAACCUACACUGAUGCUUCUCUCUGCAGAAAUAGAAUCAUCUAUCUGUUUCACCAAGUUGUCACCCUUGCACAAGUCUAUUCGCCCAUCCAAUUGCCCAAUGGUGCUUAUGAAAGUCUUUGAGUCUCUAUGUUGUAUCACCACCUUCCCUGCAUUCCCAUUGUCAGUGUAAUAUUAAGUACUUGCUUCUAUUCUAUAUACAUUUUUAGGAAAGGAAAUCAAGCUCAAGGGGAAAACCAAUUGCAUACAACGGAGAAAGUUGCCAAGGAAGCCACCAUUCUUAG